rnacentral:rRNA from 1 species
GAUGAACGCUGGCGGCGUGCCUAAUACAUGCAAGUCGAGCGAACAGACGAGGAGCUUGCUCCUCUGACGUUAGCGGCGGACGGGUGAGUAACACGUGGAUAACCUACCUAUAAGACUGGGAUAACUUCGGGAAACCGGAGCUAAUACCGGAUAAUAUAUUGAACCGCAUGGUUCAAUAGUGAAAGACGGUUUUGCUGUCACUUAUAGAUGGAUCCGCGCCGCAUUAGCUAGUUGGUAAGGUAACGGCUUACCAAGGCGACGAUGCGUAGCCGACCUGAGAGAGGGAUCGGCCACACGGGAACUGAGACACGGUCCAGACUCCUACGGGAGGCAGCAGUAGGGAAUCGUCCGCAAUGGGCGAAAGCCUGACGGAGCAACGCCGCGUGAGUGAUGAAGGUCUUCGGAUCGUAAAACUCUGUUAUUAGGGAAGAACAAAUGUGUAAGUAACUAUGCACGUCUUGACGGUACCUAAUCAGAAAGCCACGGCUAACUACGUG